rnacentral:SRP_RNA from 13 species
ACCCGGCCAGGACCGGAACGAAGC